rnacentral:lncRNA from 1 species
UUUCAUUACUGCUGUUAUGCAAAGUAUUAUAUACAACCUGCUUAGUCUGAAACUCUUCAUAUGUAAAUAAUAUCAGAAGUUUAAAGUGCUAACAUCUCUUCUAUCAGAGAAAUUACUAGAUCAGUAUGUAUUAGUGCUCCAUCUUGUAUGCAGAAGAGGUAACUGAAAAAUUCUUCAUUGUUCUCACAGGACAUAGCACAUGACAUUUCAUGGUGAAGAUUAGAAAAUUGGAAAAUUUCUCCUUCAGGUUCAGAAACAAAGCCCUGCUAAAUGUGAAGAAAUCUUAUAUUUUUGUUCUAUGAAAUAUUCUGUUGGGGACAUUUUUGCUCAUAUGAAAAGACAGUUAUAGACAAUAUCGUUGCCCUAUGGAACAGUGAAAUGCUACUGAGAAAAGUCUACCUAUAUGUGAGCACUUUUGAAAUGUAAG